AAAGGUGUGCUAAUACCGCUAUAUGGUCUUCGGAUUAAAGGAUUUAUCCGCUUUGGGAGUGGCCUGCGUACGAUUAGAUUGUUGGUGAGGUAAACGGCUCACCAAGUCGACGAUCGUUAACUGGUCUGAGAGGAUGAUCAGUCAGACUGGAACUGAGACACGGUCCAGACUCCUACGGGAGGCAGCAGUAAGGAAUCUUCCACAAUGGGCGAAAGCCUGAUGGAGCAACGCCGCGUGCAGGAUGAAGGCCCUCGGGUCGUAAACUGCUUUUAUGAGUGAAGAAUAUGACGGUAACUCAUGAAUAAGCACCGGCUAACUACGUG
rnacentral:rRNA from 1 species